CUGGCUCAGAACGAACGCUGGCGGCAUGCCUAACACAUGCAAGUCGAACGAACCCUUCGGGGUUAGUGGCGCACGG
rnacentral:rRNA from 1 species